GACGAACGCUGGCGGCGUGCUUAACACAUGCAAGUCGAACGGAAAGGCCCUGCUUUUGUGGGGUGCUCGAGUGGCGAACGGGUGAGUAACACGUGAGUAACCUGCCCUUGACUUUGGGAUAACUUCAGGAAACUGGGGCUAAUACCGGAUAGGAGCUCCUGCUGCAUGGUGGGGGUUGGAAAGUUUCGGCGGUUGGGGAUGGACUCGCGGCUUAUCAGCUUGUUGGUGGGGUAGUGGCUUACCAAGGCUUUGACGGUUAGCCGGCCUGAGAGGGUGACCGGCCACAUUGGGACUGAGAGACGGCCCGGACUCCUGCGGGAGGCAGCAGUGGGGAAUAUUGCACAAUGGGCGGAAGCCUGAUGCAGCAACGCCGCGUGCGGGAUGACGGCCUUCGGGUUGUAAACCGCUUUCGCCUGUGACGAAGCGUGAGUGACGGUGAUGGGGAAAGAAGCACCGGCGAACUACGU
rnacentral:rRNA from 1 species